rnacentral:misc_RNA from 1 species
CUUCUGCGUGAGGGAUAGAAACGGUUACCCCGGAACAAGCGGUGGGAAAAGCGUUAGCGUGAGGAGUAUGAGUGGAUAGCCCGACCUGAA